UACAGAGGUCUCGAGCGUUGUUCGGAUUUAUUGGGCGUAAAGGGUGCGUAGGCGGCGUGGCAAGUCAAGUGUGAAAUCUCGGAGCUUAACUCUGAAACUGCACUUGUUACUGCCGUGCUAGAGGGUUGUAGAGGAGAUCGGAAUUCACGGUGUAGCAGUGAAAUGCGUAGAUAUCGUGAGGAAGACCAGUUGCGAAAGCGGGUCUCUGGGCAAUUCCUGACGCUGAGGCACGAAGGCUAGGGGAGCAAACGGG
rnacentral:rRNA from 1 species